rnacentral:lncRNA from 1 species
CUGAAUGCAGCCCUGAAAUAUUUCCACGGCCACUCCCCGGAGUGAGCUGGGUGACUGUUUCAGUGCCCGGCUCCAGCGGAGGCGGGGUGUGGGUGAGUCACUGCAGGGGGCCGAGCCAGGCCGGGAGGGGCUCACAGGGCGGUCCAGGGGCCUGCGAGGUGACCGUUCAACAGCCCCGGCCAGGCGUCUAGUGCCGGCCUCCGGGGCACAGAGGACAGUGGCCUGGCCGCUGCCCACAGCACAGGCCAGGCACGUGGUACCACUGCCCUGGUCCCCUGGUCGGCGAACCAAUCAUGCUGAUCCUGUGGCUCAUAGGGGUGACGAGGGUCCUGGGUGAGGCUCCAGACACUCUGUGGGUGCUGGCUGAAGUGCCACUCGUCCAUGUUUUCAAGCAUGUAUGGAGCACUUGCUGUAUACCAGGCAACCUCCCGUGAGGUGGAGUCCACUAUUAUCCCUGACAACCGGAUCCGAACCCUCGAACCCCGGGCCACCGAAGCAAAACAUGUGCACUUAACUGGGCCAGCCCCAGGGGAAUGAAUUUAAAGCAUGAGCUGACCUCACCUGCCCCUGCUGUAACCCCCACCCCAACUGUCUGCUGGCUCCUGAGUCUGUGCCUGACACACCUGAGCUGGGAGAGGGUAAUGGAGCCUCCAAGUUCAAGGAGGCAACAGAAGGAGGAGCUCUGAGGAGGCUCUGGAGCUGUGUGACCUGGAGCAUGUUGCCUACUCUCUCUGGGCCUGCAUGUGAGAGCUACCUGGCACAGGCUCAGCUGUUGUUAAGAUAACGUACCUAGGUCUGAUGACCCCUGACCUGUCUGUGCCCUUCCGGAAUUCUUCGGGACUUGGUUUGACUGUGUCCCCCUCUGCGAGGCCUCCCCUUCCACUCUGUGGAAAGGUCCCACCCCAGGGUCUGGGGCUUCUUGCAGAACUGAGAGCCCACCUGCCUGGGUCCUCAGACCCCUUGUCCACCUCCAAGGCCUCCACCCUGGGCUCAGUUCCCAGCUUCCACCCUUGCCCCGUCCGUUCCAGAACACUCUGUGGCUUCUCAUCUCCCUUAGAGCCUGCAGCGGCCCCAUUUCCUGCCCCCUCACUUUGCUCCCAUCACCACUCUGCGCAGGCAGGGCCUUUGAAGGGGCUGUUCCCCUCCCCCUCCCGUCUGGAACACUCUUCCCCCAGAUGGUUGGCUCCUUCAUCUCCCUAAGCCCUUCUCGAAUGUCACCCUGUGGCCUUCCCUGACCACUUCCCUGCCCUGCCUGGCUUUCUUCUCCGCGUUUAUGCAGUCGCGGCGGCGCGUUUGCUGCUGCUGGGGAAGGGAAGGCCACGGGGCAGGCUCUCUGCCUAGUGCAGAGCCCCAGUGCCUGGAACAGGGUUGUGGCCCCAGUUCCUCGCCGUGGGACAGUGCCCUGCUCCCGUUGUGUCAGGUGGCUACUCCCAUGGAGGUCGUCUGAAUGGACAUCAGGCCCACCUCUCAUACCCCUCACCAGCCAGGCGGCCCUUUGUCGGCAGAGGGACAGCAGAGGACACGGGGGCACGCGCCGACCAAGUGGGAACACACACGCUGCUGAUGUCAGGACAUGCAGGCCCCAGGGUCCAGCUGGCCGGGUGGGGAAGACACCUGCCAUCGCGCCCGCCUGGAGGAGGUGGGGCUUCCGGCGGUGCUGCCCUCGGGGCAGCAGCUGGGGCCCGGUGGCGGCGGGGCGUCGCUGCCGCUCCAGGCAUCCGUGGCACUGAAAUGUUGGCCCCUGGUCGAGGCAGUGGGGCCAUCGAGGCUGGCCCGUAGGAGGGGCCUUGGGUUAAGGCAGCGCGGGGCCGCGCACCAGGCCGCUGGCGCACCAGC